AAGGCUAUUAAUAGGUCUUUGCUUUUCUUUUGGCCUUUCAUGGUCUCCUCAGUACUUGUUUCCAAACCCUUAAAAGUGCAGGGCAUGUAAACUGAAAUUUUGCAGAGAAUUUUUGGUGACUUCUAUUUUUGAGGGCAUGGGAUAUUAUUUUAAAACAUAAUAUAAUUGGUGGUGCUCUCCUUGUUGCAGUUACUGAAAACAAAUCAUCCUGGUCCCUUCACCAGUUCAACCAUCAGUCUUGGCGAAAAUUGACCACCUAAUGCAAUCAUUGGGCAGGAGGCCACUAUGGGUAGUUUAAGAUCUGGAGAUUCACAUGAUGAGAAGGUGAAAGAGGCUGAGACAAAAUUGGAGUUGAUGACCAUAUAGUGCUGCAGAAGGAGGUGGAUCUGUGCAACACUGGAAAAGGCCACACGGGGGACAAUGCCACAAGAAGCCCGUGCUCAAAUCACAGAAUCACAGAAUCACAGAAUCACAGAAUCACAGAAUCAGAAUCGCAGAAUCACAGAAAUAACAAAAUCAGGGUAGGAAACGUCCUCCUCCUUCUCCUCCAACCACCACCACCGCCUCCUCCACCACUGCCUUCUACACCACCAAAAACUAGAACGAUGACCUUGAAGGACUACUCAAAAAUAAUGAUUCUAUGUAUCCUCCUCAACCACACACAAUCAUGGAAUAUCCCCAGUUGGAAGGGACACCUAAGGAUCAUCAAGUCCAACUCAUGGUACCACAGGUCUAAAAAACAUUCCUCCACCACCAGCACCACCUCCUCCUCCAACACCGUAUAAAAGGAUGACAUUGAAGGACUCUUCCAACAAUAAUGAGUCUAUGUAUCCUCCCCCACCGCACAGAAUCAUGGAAUAAUUCCAGUUGAAAGGUACACAUAAGGAUCAUCAAGUCCAAUUCAUGGUACCACAGGUUUAAAAUAAUUCAUCCUCAAACACCACCACCACCGCCUCCUCCACCACCGCUAGAAAAACGAUCUUCACAGUCUCUUACAAUAAUAACCAUUCUAGGUAUCCUGCUCCACCACAUAGAAUCAUGGAAUAUCCCCAGUUGGAUUGGACCCAUAAGGAUCACCAAUGCCAACUCAUGGUAUCACAGGUCUAAAAAUAAUUACUCCCGCAACACCACCACCAGCGCCUCCUACACCACCGCUAGAACAAUGAUCUUUAAAGACUCUUCUAACAAUAAUGAUUCUAUGUAUCCUCCUCCACCACAUAGAAUCAUGGAAUAUCCCCAGUUGGAAGGGACAUAUAAGGAUCACUAAGUCCAACUCAUGGUACCACAGGUCUAAAAACAAUUCCUCCACCACCACAAGAACUUCCUCCUCCACCACCGCCGAGAACGAUGACCUUGAAGGUCUCUCCCAACAAUAAUGAUUCUAUGUAUCCUCCCCCACCGCACAGAAUCAUGGAAUAUCCCCAGUUGGAAAGGACAUAUAAGGAACACCAAGUCCAACUCAUGGUACCACAGGUCUAAAAAUAAUUCCUCCACCACCACCAUCACUGCCUCCUCCACCACCAAAAACUAGAACAAUGACCUUGAAGGUCUCUUCCAACAAUAAUGAUUCUAUGUAUCCUCCUCCACCACAUAGAAUCAAGGAAUAAUUCCAGUUGAAAGGUACACAUAAGGAUCAUCAAGUCCAAUUCAUGGUACCACAGGUCUAAAAAUAAUUCAUCCUCAAACACCACCACCACCGCCUCCUCCACCACCGCUAGAAAAAUGAUCGUCACAGUCUCUUCCAACAAUAACCAUUUUAGGUAUCCUCCUCCACC
rnacentral:lncRNA from 1 species